GACGAACGCUGGCGGCGUGCUUAACACAUGCAAGUCGAACGGUGAAAGCGGAGCUUGCUCCGCUGGAUCAGUGGCGAACGGGUGAGUAACACGUGGGCAACCUGCCCCUCACUUCGGGAUAACUUCGGGAAACCGGGGCUAAUACCGGAUAUGACCUCCUUGGGCAUCCUUGGAGGUGGAAAGUUUUUCGGUGAGGGAUGGGCCCGCGGCCUAUCAGCUUGUUGGUGAGAUAGUGGCUCACCAAGGCGACGACGGGUAGCCGGCCUGAGAGGGCGACCGGCCACACUGGGACUGAGACACGGCCCAGACUCCUACGGGAGGCAGCAGUGGGGAAUAUUGCGCAAUGGGCGAAAGCCUGACGCAGCAACGCCGCGUGCGGGAUGACGGCCUUCGGGUUGUAAACCGCUUUCAGCAGGGAAGAAGCCGCAAGGUGACGGUACCUGCAGAAGAAGCACCGGCUAACUACGUGCCAGCAGCCGCCGUAA
rnacentral:rRNA from 1 species